UGCGUCAUAGCCAAGUGGUAAGGCAGCUGACUUUGACUCAGCCAUACGCAAGUUCGAUCCUUGCUGGCGCAA
rnacentral:tRNA from 1 species